UAGCAUGAGCGUUUGUUG
rnacentral:miRNA from 1 species